rnacentral:lncRNA from 1 species
AUGGCCUCCAUGGGGGGGGGGGGGGGGGGGGGGGGGGGGGGGUUGGCCGCCAUCCAUCCCCCCAUCAAUCAAUCAACCCCCAUCAAUCAAUCAACCCCCAUCAAUCGAUCAACCCCCGUCAAUCAAUCAACUCCUCCCCCCAUUCCAUUGGUGGGAGGGUCCUUCUCUCAGCCCCCUCAAUUCCAUUGGUCGGAGGUCAAUCAAUCAAUCAAACUCCCCAAUCCCAUUGGUGGGAGGUCAAUCAAUCAAUCAACCCCCUAUUCCAUUGGUGGGAGGUCAAUCAAUCAAUCAACCCCCCCCCGUCAAUCAAUCAAGCCCCCCCAUUCCAUUGGUGGGAGGGCUCUUCUCCCACAGCCCCAAUCCCAUUGGUGGGAGGUCAAUCAAUCAACCCCUUGUGGGAGGGUCCUUCUCACCCCCCCCCAACCCCAUUGGUGGUCAAUCCAUCAAUCAAUCAACCCCCCCCAUUCCAUUGGUGGAGGGUCCUUCUCUCACAAGCCCAAUCCCAUUGGUAGGUCAAUCCAUCAUCAAUCAAUCCCCACCUACUCCAUUAGGUGGAGGGUCCUUCUCGUCACAGCCCCAACCCAUUGGUGGGAGUCAACUCAAUCAACCCGCUUGUUGGAGAGUUCCUUUCUCACCCCCCCCCAACCCCAUUGGUGGUCAAUCAUCAAAUCACCCCAUCCCCCGAUCCCAUUGCGCUGGGGGGGGGCAUGCUCUCACAGCUUGAGCUCAUUGCCACCUUGAGGCGAUGGUUCUUGAAGUGCCAUGGAUGGUGCCGCGAUCGUUUGGAACCGGACCUCCGUUCAACGGAGAGCCGGGGCAGUUUGCAAACCUCCAUCUCCCAUUGACGAAGGAGUCGUUGGCGCGGGCUCCAUAGUGCACACAGCAGACGAAGCGCUCCUGCAGCUCACAGCGGCAGCUGUUGGCGGUCCAGCACUUUGCCGGAUCUCCGCUCACAUCUCCCCAGGUUCCAGCUGACGUUGUUUUCAUGCUCCGACGUGAAGCGUAAGGAGCAGGAGCUUGGCGUCCCGGGCGGUCGUCCUGUCCAGCCCACGGCCGGGCUGGAGGGAAAUGGGGGGUGAGAUGGGGGGAUAUUGGGGAUAUGGGGUAUGGGGGGGAUAUGGGGGCAAGUGGUGAUGGGGCGUAUGGUGGGAUUGGGGAUAACGGGGAGGGGGUAACAAGGUUAUGGGGGGUGAUGGGGUGAUGGGGGGGUGAUGGGGA